rnacentral:rRNA from 1 species
CCUACGGGUGGCAGCAGUGGGGAAUAUUGGACAAUGGGGGCAACCCUGAUCCAGCCAUGCCGCGUGUGUGAAGAAGGCCCUCGGGUUGUAAAGCACUUUCAGUGACGAAGAACGCCUGGUGGUUAAUACCCAUCAGGAAAGACAUCACUCACAGAAGAAGCACCGGCUAACUCCGUGCCAGCAGCCGCGGUAAUACGGAGGGUGCGAGCGUUAAUCGGAAUUACUGGGCGUAAAGCGCGCGUAGGUGGCUUGAUAAGCCGGUUGUGAAAGCCCCGGGCUCAACCUGGGAACGGCAUCCGGAACUGUCAAGCUAGAGUGCAGGAGAGGAAGGUAGAAUUCCCGGUGUAGCGGUGAAAUGCGUAGAGAUCGGGAGGAAUACCAGUGGCGAAGGCGGCCUUCUGGACUGACACUGACACUGAGGUGCGAAAGCGUGGGUAGCAAACAGGAUUAGAUACCCCUGUAGUC